UGUCCAAAGAAGACACUGAAAAACUUGUUCAUGCAUAUAUUUUUAGUAGGUUAGAUUAUUGUAAUGGCAUCUUUACAGGUCUCAAUAAAAAAUAAAUUAAACAACUGCAGCUUAUCCAAAAUGCCGCUGCCAGAGUCUUGACCAACACCAAGAAAAUGGACCACAUUACACCUGUCCUUAAAUCUUUGUACUGGCUCCCUGUGUGUAAGAGGAUAGAUUUUAAAAUUCUGUUACUGACCUACAAGGCACUGAAUGGUCUAGGUCCAAAAUACAUCUCUGACCUACUUGUUGUAUAUGAGGCGCCUAGACUCCUCAGGUCUUCAGGGACAGGUUUACUCUGUGUUCCCAGGGUCAGAACUAAAAAGGCUGAAGCAGCAUUCGGUUUUUAUGCUCCACACCUGUGGAACAAGCUCCCUGAAUGCACAGACUGUAAGCGCAUUUAAAUCAGGCCUAAAAACACUGUUGUUUACUAUAGCUUGUCCGUAACCCGACAUGCAGGUAAUCUUAACCGUCUAAUUUUACCCCUUUUAUGUGCUUUUUAAAAUCGUUUUAUUGUUUCAUUGACGUUGUUUUAUUAUUCAUACAUUUGUCGUAUUGCAAUUUUUAAUUAUUGACUAUUUUAUUUUUUCUUUCCUGUAAAGCACCUUGAAUUGCUGUUUGCACGAAUGGUGCUAUACAAAUAAACUUGCCUUGCCUUGCCUUGCACUGCUGUACUCACUCCAUACUCAUGACUGCAUAGCCGGUCAUAGUGUGAACACCAUCAUCAAGAUCGCCGACGACACCACUGUUGUGGGACAUAUCGCUGUCAGAGUAUAGAAGUGAGAUCGACCGAUUGACCAAAUGGUGCCAGCACAAUAACCUGCCUCUCAACACCAGCAAAACCAAGGAACUGAUUGUGGACUUUGGAAGGGGUAGGAUAUGGACCCACAAUCCCGUUUAUAUUAAUGUAAUCCCGUUUAUAUCAAUGCAAUGGUGGAAAGGGUCAAGAGCUUCAAAUUCCUGGGCGUGCACAUCUCUGAAGAUCUUUCCUGGUCCCAGCACACUGAUGCAAUUAUAAAGAAAGCACAUCAGCGCCUCUACUCCCUGAGAAGAUUACGGAGAGUCGGUAUGUCAAGGAGGACUCUCUCGAACUUCUACAGGUGCACAGUAGAGAGCAUGCUGACCGGUUGCAUCGUGGCUUGGUCUAGGUUCAGGAACAGCUUCUUCCCCAUAGCCAUCAGGCUGUUAAACACACCAUCAAGCAAACUCUGAACUAUAACAGCCUAUUGCACUUUAUCUGUUUACUUAUGUGUAUAUAUAUAUAUUCUAUGGUAUAUAGACACACUGAACUGCUCUGUAUUUAUGCUUACAAUAGUCUGUUGUGCUGCAGCAUGCAAGAAUUUAAAUGUCCUAUCUGGGACACAUGACAAUAAACUCUCUUGACCCUUUGUUUAAGAAAGUAAAGGUGAAAGUAAAUCCAAAGGGUUUCUACAGCUAUAUUAAUAGCAAAAGGAUAACGAGGGAUAAAAUUGGUCCAUUAGAGAGUCAGAGUGGACAGCUAUCUGCAGAGCCAAAAGAGAUGGGGGAGAUAUUGAACAAUUUAUUUUCUUCGGUAUUCACCAAGGAGAAGGAUAUUGAAUUAUGUGAGGUAAGGGAAACAAGUAGAGUAG